AGGUUUCUGGGUGCUCUAAUCGAGUGUCUAGGGAUGCUAGCGGGUUUACUUUGAAAAAAUUAGAGUGCUCAAGCAGGCUAUUACGCUUGAAUAUUCGUGCAUGGAAUAAUAGAAUAGGAAGUUGUUUCUAUUUUGUUGGUUUUCGGAAAUCGACUUAAUGAUUAAUAGGGACAGUCGGGGGCAUUUGUAUUCAAACGACAGAGGUGAAAUUCUUGGACCGUUUGAAGACAAGCUACUGCGAAAGCAUUUGCCAAGAAUGUUUUCAUUAAUCAAGAACGAAAGUUAGAGGUUCGAAGGCGAUUAGAUACCGCCCUAGUUCUAACCAUAAACGAUGCCAGCUAGCGAUCUGAGGACGUUUUUUUUGUAGACUCCUCAGGAAGCUUCCGGGAAACCAAAGCGUGUGGGUUCCGGGGGAAGUAUGGUUGCAAAGCUGAAACUUAAAGGAAUUGACGGAAGGGCACCACCAGGAGUGGAGCCUGCGGCUUAAUUUGACUCAACACGGGAAAUCUCACCAGGCCCGGACACUGGAAGGAUUGACAGAUUGAGAGCUCUUUCUCGAUUCGGUGGGUGGUGGUGCAUGGCCGUUCUUAGUUGGUGGAGUGAUUUGUCUGGUUAAUUCCGAUAACGAACGAGACUCUGUCCUGCUAAAUAGUGUCAGCCUCUCUUUUGGGCUGACAAUUCUUCUUAGAGGGACUGGCGGCUCCUAGCCGCACGAGAUAGAGCAAUAACAGGUCUGUGAUGCCCUUAGAUGUUCUGGGCCACACGCGCGCUACACUGAAUAGAUCAGCGUGUUCUCCCUUUCUGAGAAGAACGGGUAAACCGCUGAACCCUAUUCGUGGUAGGGAUCGGGGCUUGCAAUUAUUCCCCGUGAACCAGGAAUUCCCAGUAGGCGCGAGUCAUAAGCUCGCGUCGAUUACGUCCCUGCCCUUUGUACACACCGCCCGUCGCUACUACCGAUUGAAUGGC
rnacentral:rRNA from 1 species